AAGUCGUAACAAGGUUUCCGUAGGUGAACCUGCGGAAGGAUCAUUACAGAGUUCAUGCCCGAAAGGGCAGACCUCCCACCCUUGUGUAUUUAUACUUUGUUGCUUUGGCGGGCCGCCACAAGGCUCUCGGCUUCGGCUGGGGCGUGCCCGCCAGAGGACCAUCAAACUCUGAAUGUUAGUGUCGUCUGAGUACUAUAUAAUAGUUAAAA
rnacentral:misc_RNA from 1 species